rnacentral:lncRNA from 1 species
GGGCGAGAUCCUCUUGCCAUUGGCUUCGCCGCAAGAUAAGUGGACGACCCCCUCUCCUCUUCUCCUCAUUUCACCAAUUAGCGUCGUGCGGAGGGACUGAGAGAAAUAGAGCGCCGGUGCCACCGUCGCUGCGCUUGGGUUUUGCCGUUAUUGCGACCUCGAAUCCAGCCAACAGAGUUCGCCGCAGCGCGUAGAGCAAGAUUAUAUCGGUGUUGGGCAUGGAGUAGUACCCAUUGGGUGUCAAUUCCUCGUCGGCGUCGAAGCAAAGCCCCAUCUGCAUGUUGCUUGAAUUCACCUCCACCCGGGAUUCCUGGUAUGGGCCUCUACUCGAUUCGUCGUUCAUCUAAGAAUCAAAUGGCGCUUCUCGCCUCGUGCUCUGUACCAGAAUAGCUGCGACCACCACGCUGAUUGGCGCCGUUGGCUGGGCCAUUAGGGGACAGGGCCCAUGCGUUAAAACCCGCGGUAGAAGUUUAGUGGUGGGAGUUCACCAUCUUUUCUUUGCCAUGAAUCGUCUCGCGGGGUGGGGAAAUUGGGAUCCAGGGUACCGGAACGGGAUCUCUGGCCAUGGCUCCGCCGUUUGCCGGUGUGCGCCGUCGCCGGUUCGGUUAGCUAUGAGGAUUUGGGGAGGGUUUUAUGCUGGCCCUUGAUCUAGAUUCAGGUGGCCACGGUUAGAUCUUAGGUUACCCCUUCGUUUUAAAUCGGGGCCAUGGAUCUGUGAUCAUAUGGUCGGGAGAGAGUUGUUGUCGCGGGAAAUCCUCGGCCAUCGAUCUUCGUGCGGGCGCUCGGUGUGAUAAACCAGUUCACGGAGAGGAAUAGAUUUAAUCUCGGCCGUCGAGUUUCGAUCGGACGACCAGGGUUCCAGGAUACCCCUUCGGCCAAUUCUUUUGCUAAAGACACCCUGAUCUUUCUCGAUAUAAAUCCACCGUCUACGUGCAGUGUAGAGUAAUUACAAUUGAACCAUGGAUUCUUACAAAUCAACCCCUGGCCUUUCACGUUUUUGUGCGCGCGGUCCAAAUAAAUUGCAGAUUUAAUAAAAUCAACUAGAAAAAGUUUUUUAGUAUAAAAAUAAUUCUAGAAAAUUAUUUAAUUCAUAACUAAUUCGUUUUAACUCCUUUUUAAUCUAUUCCAGUUGCAAUAAUUUUAUUUUAAUAUUGUUUAUCACCUAGUAACUCUGUUUUAUCAUGAAACAUAGAUUAAAUUUGUCCACUUAGUUUAUCCUGUAUCAACUACUUAAAAACUUCGAAAAAUCAUAACUUGUUAUCCAUAACUUCGAAUUUAGUGAUUCUUGAACCUACAAUCUCGUUACGAUGCAUAGAUUAUUAUCAUGCAUUAUGUUCUGAUGUUUGGUGUGAUGUUAAUUUAUGCUAUACCAUGUUUGUUUGUGUUGCUACGAGUAGUCGAGCAAGUGAUCGAGGACCCAGGUGCUCAGCAUGUGGAAAAUUUUGAGCAGGAGCUCGUUGAAGGAAAGUUAUGCCCUUGACCACUUUUAUUUACCCAAUAAUGUUCUCUAUAAUCAUUUUGGCAUGCUUAGGCUUAAUUUUGAUGGGACCCAAUAGGUCACACUAGUUUGGUUAUCUUUACACCUUGUUUACCCCUGAACUUUUGGAUAGUCUUUGCUAUUGCUAUAUGUGGUUUUGGGUGUUAAGAUAAUUAUUACACAUGGUCAUGAUUUAUUAUUGUUAUUCUAUUUUGUUCAUGAUAAGACUAUUAUGUUAAUAGGAACAUGGAGCUUAACUUGAGAAACACGUGCCACCACAAGGGUGGAAUGGGACGCCCUUUGCUGACUAAUUAGGAAAGCUAGUGGAGGUCUACCUUACCCGAAAGGGGCAAGGGAAGUAGGGGAGUUAUCGGUGUGGGGAGGUUCUCGGGUUGAUUUUGCUGCGAUGGCUUUUCAGACGGGGGAUUCCUGCAUUGCGCUCCCUAGAACUGUAGCGGGUUUUCUGAAGCUAGUGGAACUUUGUAAAGGCCUCGUAGUGUUACCCGGCCUCGCUUCCUGGUAGAGGUGUAUGGGAUUCAUGACCCCUUGGCAGAUGGGUAACAUGACUUGUGGGUAAAGGGUACAACCUCUACAGAGUGUAAAACUGGUAUACUAGUCGUGCUCGCGGUCAUUAGCAGCUCAGGACUCUUGCAUGAUUAAUUUAUGGAAUUAAAUUCAAUUUGUCAUUUGCAUCGCAUUAUGGUUUUAUUAUUAACUUUGAUCUAUUACUAGUUUGGUAUAUACUUACAUUUAGUAACUGCUAAUAAAAUCUGACCAACUUAUUAAAAGCAAUGCUCAGCUUUAACCCUUAUUUGUUGAUCAGCCUUACACUUCACAUGAGCUCCCACCUUUGGUGAGUUCAUGCACAUUAUUCCCCACAACUUGCUGAGAUAUGAUCUUUUGUGAGCUCACCCUUGCGACAUAUAAACCCCCCACAGGUGAAGAGCAGGUAGUCCAGGAGGAGGUCUACAACGAGGAGUACGAGAUUAUCUAGGUGGCGUCUUCCAGUCAGCUUUAUGGCGCCAAGGAAUAAUAUUUAGUUCGCUUUAUUGUUAUCAUUUAAUUUUGUAAGACACUACCGCUAUGUAAUAAUAUUUGUGAUAUUUAUCUCUGCACACUUGGUCAUUAUAUGUGUUGUUCUUCUUUGGCGCA